rnacentral:rRNA from 1 species
GUGCCAGCCAGCCGCGGUAAGACAGAGGGUGCAAACGUUGUUCGGAAUUACUGGGCGUAAAGCGCGUGUAGGCGGUCUAGCAAGUCGGAUGUGAAAGCCCUUGGCUCAACUGAGGAAGUGCAUUCGAAACUGCGAGACUUGAGUCCCGGAGAGGAUGGUGGAAUUCUCGGUGUAGAGGUGAAAUUCGUAGAUAUCGAGAGGAACACCGGUGGCGAAGGCGGCCAUCUGGACGGUGACUGACGCUGAGACGCGAAAGCAUGGGGAGCAAACAGG